rnacentral:rRNA from 1 species
ACAAGUACCGUGAGGGAAAGUUGCAAAGCACUUUGAAGAGAGAGUUAAAGAGGACGUGAAACCGAUGAGAUCGAAACGGAUAGAGUCAGCGUAUCUGACCUGUAUUCAGUCACACAUCUGUCAGUCGUCAUGUGUUGAUUUCCAGACUGGGACAGUGUGUGGCUAGCUGAUUGUUGUGUGGUGCAUUUGCAGGUGGAGUGCGUCGAGACGCUCGGUGUGGCGACAUGAGCUCAGUUUUGAGGCCAGCUUGCUGGUACCCGAAUUGGAGGAAUGUUGUUCACGCUGAGUGGAAUUGGCAAGGCCUACGAGUCCGGUUGGGCAUCGAGCUGGCAGUCGGCGUCGGUCGCAUGCGACACGUGCUGUGCAGUCAGUUCGGUCCUAGUCGAGCUCACAAGCCUAUUCUCGGCGUAAAAGCUGGUCAUCUAUCCGACCCGUCUUGAAACACGGACCAAGGAGUUUAUCGUGUGCGCAAGUCAUUGGGCGUUGAAAACCCAAAGGCGCAAUGAAAGUGAACGCAUCCGCAAGGAGCUGACGUGCGAUCCCGGGUACUGCGGUGCCCGAGCGCAGCAUGGCCCCAUCCCGAUUGCUUGCAAUGGGGUGGAGGAAGAGCGUACGCGGUGAGACCCGAAAGAUGGUGAACUAUUCCUGAGCAGGAUGAAGCCAGAGGAAACCCUGGUGGAAGUCCGAAGCGAUUCUGACGUGCAAAUCGAUCGUCUGACUUGGGUAUAGGGGCGAAAGACUAAUCGAACCAUCUAGUAGCUGGUUCCUUCCGA